GUUUUUUUGAUUUGUUGAACACAGAAUAUAUUACAGUCUUCAUCUGAAAAGCGGGAAUGAUGUCAGCAAGAUGAUACUUAGAGACUCAAAGCUUUGUUUCUUCAAAAUUCCUGAAUUGAAACCCUAACCCCCAAUGUGAUGGUAUGUGGAACAGAGGUCGUUUGGUAAGUAAUUAAGAUUAGACGAGGUCACGAGGCC
rnacentral:lncRNA from 1 species